CAGUGCUCUGCUGCUGGCUACUCACCCCUGGAUUCCUCCUCAGCUCCUGGGAUCUUUCUGCUCCAAAGGCUCCAGAGGCCUGGGGUGGGGAGCGCGUCAC